rnacentral:rRNA from 1 species
ACGAACGCUGGCGGCGUGCUUAACACAUUCAAGUCGAACGGAAAGGCCCUGCUUUUGUUGGGUUCUCGAGUGGCGAACGGGUGAGUAACACGUGAGUAACCUGCCCUUGACUUUUGGAUAACUUCAUGAAACUGGGGCUAAUACCGGAUACGAGCUCCUUCUUCUUGGUGGGGGUUGGAAAGUUUCGGCGUUUGGGGAUUGACUCGCGGCUUAUCAGCUUGUUUGUGUGGUAGUGUCUUACCAAGGCUUUGACGGGUAGCCGGCCUGAGAGGGUGACCGGGCACAUGGGGACUGAGAUACGGAGCAGAGGGGAACGGGAGGCAGGAGUGGGGAAUAUUGCACAAUGGGAGGAAGCGUGAGGAAGAAAAGGGGGGAGCGGGAAGACGGGCUUCGGGUUGAAAAAAGAAGUAGACUGAGACGAAGAGUGAGUGACGGUAAUGGGUAAAGAAGCACCGGCUAACUACGUG